GCUCGGCUUCGGGUCGGCGUGAGAAAUCGGAGCCGGCGAGCGCUCGACGGAGAAGGUUGCCGUGGAGACGAUUCCGCGUUUUUCGGUCGUCCCUCGAGGGUCGUCAUGGCGACGUGGGCCACUCGUUCGAUGCCUAUCUUUGGCUCGCGUCCUGUGUGUUAAACCGUCGGGGGAACGUUGCGGGUCGUUAACUCACCUGGUCUUCCUCUCCGCCCCCCUCCUCGUCGUAAUUGAGCACGUUCUCGCGGAUGUCCUCCCAGCCGUCGUGGUGAGCCGAGACGUGGUACACUCCCUCCUUCAGGCCCUUGUAGCUCCUCCACCGUGUGUAAAGAAAGAUCCCCAGCAGCAGUACUGCGCACACACACACACACACACACACACUCGAAUAAGCAAACACACCCUCUCAGCUUCCUGCUAUGAUAAGUCUGGGCCCUUUGUGCCCCAUCGUUAGCAUAAACUCGAGCUGAUGGGGUCGAUGGAGGCUGAUCGUGGGUCGGGGAACGUUGCGCUUCGUCUGCUGUGUUAAAACCGGUUACCGAGAGAUCGGCCCAGCUUUGCAUGGGUUACGCUAAGGACCUCUGGAGGAACUGUCGAAUGUGGAGGCGUUCUGUAAUCUGCGAGGUCCUGAGUGUUCCUGCGUGUCUACGUAGACCUGUGCCGAGCGGUCGUCCCAAGAGGCGGUAAUACCAGACUUCUAUACGUCUAUACGACUUGGUUGCUCUGUAUGCUCUUUCACCCUAAUAGACUCCAUAUAGGACUUCCAGAGAUCCCUGUUAUUUGGGUGAUGGACCGUUCUCAGCCAUGAUACCUUCUAAUGAACACAACACUUGUGACCGUUGGGGGUCGAGGGCUUCGCUCGGGAGCCCGACAGUGCGGACCAGCGACCCAACCGGCAACCUUCCGAUUACUAGUCUGAUUACUUGACCACCGAGCUACGACUGCCCUGCCGCGAGUCGACUCUGGUGACUCUACCACACGCGAUGACAUCGACACGACCCACCGAACGGAGCCCGCCGGGCAGACCGACACCCCGCCGGAGUGACCGAAAUACAAACCCGAGCCGAUCCUCUCGGCUCCCGCGGCUCUCGCCGGCAGAGGUGAACGAAGGACGAUACGAGACGAGAGAUCGGACCGUUUGAAGACGAAGGAGAUCCGAUCGUCGACGAUCCUACUGGCCGACCGGACUACUUAAAUUACUCUCGAUGCUGUUCUAAGCAGAUACCCGUACCAUCGAGGCCAAGGACCGGCCCUUGGGAAUAAACGUAGCUCGCAUACCAGUAGUAACGGAAGACCAUGUAUCCAGCUCCUGCAGCAUCAAGCACUGACGAGCGAAUACCGGCACGGGUCUCUGGAGUGCGUCUUCUCGGUUCUUACUAAUUUUCUGACCGAUGAUUUGUUGUUAGCACCAUUAAAAGACUCAUUUUUA